rnacentral:rRNA from 1 species
GACGAACGCUGGCGGCGUGCCUAAUACAUGCAAGUAGAACGCUGAAGGAGGAGCUUGCUUCUCUGGAUGAGUUGCGAACGGGUGAGUAACGCGUAGGUAACCUGCCUGGUAGCGGGGGAUAACUAUUGGAAACGAUAGCUAAUACCGCAUAAUAGUAGAUGUUGCAUGACAUUUGCUUAAAAGGUGCAAUUGCAUCACUACCAGAUGGACCUGCGUUGUAUUAGCUAGUUGGUGAGGUAACGGCUCACCAAGGCGACGAUACAUAGCCGACCUGAGAAGGUGAUCGGCCACACUGGGACUGAGACACGGCCCAGACUCCUACGGGAGGCAGCAGUAGGGAAUCUUCGGCAAUGGACGGAAGUCUGACCGAGCAACGCCGCGUGAGUGAAGAAGGUUUUCGGAUCGUAAAGCUCUGUUGUAAGAGAAGAACGAGUGUGAGAGUGGAAAGUUCACACUGUGACGGUAUCUUACCAGAAAGGGACGGCUAACUACGUG